GAUGUUUCCACCUGGCGUCUCUGAAACCAUAAGCCCAAGAGUUUCCUGAUCAGAAGCUUUCCUGGAGAGAAGAGGACAAACCCAAAAACUAUCCUUCAGCUUCUGAAAAGACAAAAACAAGUACAAGCAUUUCAAGACAUGUCUUCUCACUCUCCUGGUUGUUACAACAAACAAAUCCUAAAUCAUUACUUUUUUGUGGACGUUUUGGCAAGGAAAACCAUAAAUUCUCCGGAUGUGUCCUGCCACAGGGCAGCAUCUGUGUCUGCUCAAGGCAGCAUCUGCAGGUGUGGGGUUUUGAUUAAUCAAACCAGAGAUCCUUUCUGCUCACUGUGGUCAGCUGACCGACAGUUCCCAAAGAUCUCCAUGUCCUGAUCCCUGAAACCUGUGAUUCAGUCAUUUGAUUUGGCGCCAGGGACUUUGCAGAUGGGACUGAGUUAGAAUCUUUUGAAGUGGUGUCCCGGCUUAUGCAGCUGGCCCACUCAGGGGUCCUCGUGGGACAGAGAGGGUCAGAGGGAGAGAGCUGGAGAUGUUGCAAAGCUGGCCUUGAGGUUGCGGGGAGAUCCACAGACAGGGAAGGUGGGAGCCCCCACUCCAAAGCUGCAAAGGGCAAGAGGGCAUGAGGGAUGCGGCCCCGAAGCUCGGCAGGAUGUCCGCUGCCGGGGCAGGGAGAGCUGGGGCCUCUGACGCAAGGGGUCCCCCACCCCUAGCUCAGUGCACUUCUGGAGGUCCCACAGGACUCUCUGAUCCCAGGUGCCCAAUGGAAGCAGCCUGCUGACACCUGGAUUUGGACCUCUGACCCCCAGGACUGCAUGAGAAUGAAUUUGUGGUCUUGUAAACGGCCACGUUCAUGGUUAUUUGCACCUGUCUUUCCAAAUGGAAAAAUGCUGCAUAAUGGUGCAUUCCUGAGCCUCUACUCCUCUACGGCCUGUAGUAAAGUCACUCCAACACCUUGACAUUGGCCUCAGUGGGAGAAUUCAUACCGUGGAAGUGGGCAGAUGCUACCUGCAGUGGACUGCAGCCACCAGGCUGACACAUGGAGGCUCUUUUCUGACCACUGAGUGCUUGUCCGUGGUGCUGAACAGACCCUAGCGGGGGGGCAGCCACAAAGGAGUGUGUCCCCAGCCCGGCUUGCUGAGCCAUGCAUGGAAGAGUGGCAUGAACCUUUGGAAGUCUGUGCUGUCCUACUUCUAUGGCGUGGGUGAGACCGAGGCCUUUGGAUGUCCCAGUGGAGCCCGUGACAGCAAAGUUCCCUUGUCCCACAGAGCACCACAAAGGACAGGGCCCUGUGACGUGUGGGCAGGACCCAGGGGAUGGGCUUAUUUUCACAUCCUUUAAUAUUGAUCGGUGUGCCAGGCACAGGGAGUCCCAGUGUCACCCGAUGUUCCUCCCAUGAUUAUCCUUGUGCAGUUGGCAUCAGGGAAAACAUAGGCUCAAAGAUUGUCUGUCAUUUCUCCAAAGCCACCUACCACUGGAGCUGGACCUUGAGCUUAUUCAGGGAGGUCCUAGGUCUUAGCAAACAGAUAGUCCUUUGUCACUUCAUGUAUGCUUUAGUUACUUUUCUCAUUGCUGGGACAAAAUACCCAACACCCA